GAUAGGGAAAGUCAUCAAACGUCAGACGUCACUUUAUGGUCGCCAUUGAUUCAGAAAAAGCAAAUUUGUCUGCUGAGAAAAUCCAAACUUCCAGGAAAACGUUUAUUCCGCGUGUUUUUUGAAUUCCAAUCUCAUCAUGAGCAACGGCGGUGGAUUAGGCGGUGCCCGUCCGCCCCCCCGGAUUGAUGGCAUGGUCUCCCUGAAGGUGGACAAUCUCACAUAUCGAACCACACCGGAGGAUCUGCGUCGUGUUUUCGAGCGCUGUGGGGAGGUGGGAGACAUCUACAUACCCAGGGAUCGUUACACACGCGAAAGCCGUGGAUUCGCAUUCGUGCGCUUCUAUGAUAAACGCGAUGCUGAGGACGCACUUGAGGCCAUGGAUGGUCGCAUGCUAGACGGCAGGGAGCUCCGCGUUCAGAUGGCCCGCUAUGGUCGCCCCUCGUCUCCGACACGCAGCACCAGUGGGCGUCGUGGAGGUGGAGGUGGUGGUGGUGGUGGAGGUCCCGGUGGCGGUCGUCGCCGUUCUCGUUCUCGCUCUCCGAUGCGCCGACGCUCGCGCAGUCCUCGCCGCCGUUCUUACUCGCCACGGUCUCGUUCCCGUUCAGCGGGCAGCCGCUCGCCCGAGCGCCGCUCCAAAUUCUCGCGCAGUCCAGUGCGUGGCGACAGUCGAAAUGGUGUAGGUGGCGGAGGAUCGGGACUGGGUGCAUCUGGUUCCCGUAGUCGCAGCGGCUCCUAAAUAAGAUUAAAAACGUUCCAACUUGUGGAAGUGCGAGACAUUUCUCGCUGACAAAGCCGGAUUCCGUUACCUUAUCCGGAUCCGUGGCUUCACAUCCUGUGUCAUGCUGUACCCGAACAGCAGGAAAAAGGUGUGUGGCCGUUGGUUGUUGCGGUUCAGAUAAAAGAUUGUAAUUAUAUCGCGAGGGAGGCAGCAGCGAGCGCAUCAUCUCCACCUCCGUCUUCCCUGGAGCGGACAUCACGUGGCUGUUGUUGCUGCUGUAUCUGCAUCUGCAUCUGCUGUUGCUGUUGCUGCUGCACUCCUGUUCCUGCUCCCGUUUGCUGCACCUGCUACUGCUGUUGCUGUUGCCGUUGCCGCCGUUGCAGUUUCCUGAUUGCCGCUGCCGCUGAUACAGUCACUCCACUCCAUUCCAGCUGGCCACAGUUACAGCUUCUGGGAGUUGGGAGCUGGGAGCUGAGCUGUGCUGAACCGAGCGGCAUACCUGUAGUUUCCCGUUUGCUGUUUGCUGUUUCCUGUCACUUCUUCUCCUGUUCUCGCCUCGUCUCAUCUCGUCUCGUCAUUUGUUGCUGGUUGGCGUUGUUGGUGGUUUCCUGUCUGUUGGUCUGGGCUAAGUCGGUUUGGGCCCCUUUGAGUUUAGGCGAAUAAACUUUUCCAGCUGCGCCCCUACCAGCUAAGCCAUUGAUAUCGGAAUAUGAUAUGAUUUGGAAUAAUUACUUUAUUGCUUUCCCUUCUUCACGGCCUCCUUCAAUUGGUGAGUACAAGACUAAUAAACUUCCUUUGCAGCAACAAAAACGAAAUAAAAAUUCUUGUUUCUUUAA